CUCCUCCUCUGUUGCAAUUUUUCUCCAUCUUUUUUUAUGGCCGCCUUUCAAAUAUUUGAAGACCAUGAUCAUGUCUCCCCUUAAUCUCCUCUUUUCCAAACUAAACAUACCCAGUUCCUUCAGCCUUUGCCCAGAUGGGUUGCAUUCCAUCCCUUCGAUCAUCUUUGUCAGUCACCUCUGAAUUCUUUCCACUUUCUCU